AUCGCUUCUCGGCCUUUUGGCUAAGAUCAAGUGUAGUAUCUUACUGCACUGCUCGCAGCCUUU
ensembl:snRNA U2 U2 spliceosomal RNA